rnacentral:rRNA from 1 species
UACAGAGGGGGCAAGCGUUAUUCGGAAUUAUUGGGCGUAAAGGGCGCGUAGGCGGUUUUUUAAGUAGGAUGUGUAAUCCCCGGGCUUAACCUGGGAACUGCAUCCUAGACUGGAAGACUUGAGUACUGGAGAGGGUGGUAGAAUUCCACGUGUAGCGGUGAAAUGCGUAGAGAUGUGGAGGAAUACCAGUGGCGAAGGCGGCCACCUGGACAGUAACUGACGCUGAGGCGCGAAAGUGUGGGUAGCAAACAGGAUUAGAUACCCUGGUAGUCCACGCUGUAAACGAUGAACACUUGGUGUGGUGGGAGUUGACCCCUGCCGUGCCGGAGCUAACGCGUUAAGUGUUCCGCCUGGGGAGUACGGUCGCAAGGCUGAA